UGCAAUGAUGAGUGUUGAUGAAAGUUUAAUGUGCUCGUUCCAGAUACUGAAGCCAACAGAUAGAAAGCCUCGAUUUUUAUGAGGCAAAAUCGAUAGCUUGUAGCUACACUCUCCCAGAGCACCCAAGGUUAGUAGCUUGAUGCAAUCUUAUUUUCCCAUUUUUAUGAGGCAAAAUCGAUACCUUGUAGCUACACUCUCCCAGAGCACCCAAGGUUAGUAGCUUGAUGCAAUCUUAUUUUCCCAUUGUAUGUGCAACACUUGUGCUGUUAAAUUCUAGAAUAUCGUGCUAUUAACUAUUGAUUCAUCGGCUGAUUUCAUGAUAUAGAAGUGAAGAUAAGUUAAAUUUUGUACGUUACUUUCAUGUUAUCCUGCUCUUCUCAAAAGUAUAAUCACUUUAAAGAUGCAAGUGUUGUAUGUUACUUUCAUUCUUGCAUACUGCCUGAUUUACUUUUUCAUCU
rnacentral:lncRNA from 1 species